AUUGAACGCUGGCGGCAGGCCUAACACAUGCAAGUAGGACGCAGUUGCGAACGGGUGAGUAACGCGUAGGUAACUGCCUAUUAGAGGGGGAUAACUAUUGGAAACGAUAGCUAAUACCGCAUACUAGUAGAUGGACCUGCGUUGUAUUAGCUAGUAGGUAGGGUAAUGGCCUACCUAGGCGACGAUACAUAGCCGACCUGAGAGGGUGAUCGGCCACACUGGGACUGAGACACGGCCCAGACUCCUACGGGAGGAAGCAGUAGGGAAUAUUCGGCAAUGGGGGGAACCCUGACCGAGCAACGCCGCGUGAGUGAAGAAGGUUUUCGGAUCGUAAAGCUCUGUUGUUAGAGAAGCGGUACUUAACCAGAAAGGGACGGCUAACUACGUGCCAGCCGCCGCGGUAAUAC
rnacentral:rRNA from 1 species